rnacentral:rRNA from 1 species
AUUGAACGCUGGCGGCAGGCUUAACACAUGCAAGUCGAGCGGGGUGAUGGUGCUUGCACUAUCACUUAGCGGCGGACGGGCGAGUAAUGCUUAGGAAUCUGCCUAUUAGUGGGGGACAACAUCUCGAAAGGGAUGCUAAUACCGCAUACGUCCUACGGGAGAAAGCAGGGGAUCACUUGUGACCUUGCGCUAAUAGAUGAGCCUAAGUCGGAUUAGCUAGUUGGUGGGGUAAAGGCCUACCAAGGCGACGGUCUGUAGCGGGUCUGAGAGGAUGAUCCGCCACACUGGGACUGGGACACGGCCCAGACUCCUCCGGGAGGCAGCAGUGGGGAAUAUUGGACAAUGGGGGGAACCCUGAUCCAGCCAUGCCGCGUGUGUGAAGAAGGCCUUAUGGUUGUAAAGCACUUUAAGCGAGGAGGAGGCUCUUUUGGUUAAUACCCAAGAUGAGUGGACGUUACUCGCAGAAUAAGCACCGGCUAACUCUGUGCCAGCAGCCGCCGUAA